GAAGCCUCCUAUAAGCCAUUUCUUGAGUUUUCUCCAGUUCUGUCUUCUGAUCCUGAACGUUCAAUGUACUUUGGACAGGAAUCCGACCUCUCCCAAUCUGGCUGUUGCAACUGGCCAGCAGCCCGUGAGUAACAUGUUCUGUACUGUUCUAGUGAAGAAGGGGAAUUCACCUUUUAAUUCAAAAUGACUCAGCUCCUUGGAGCCUGUCCCGAGUGUGUCCUUUUUCUUUUUUAAGAACUAUAAUUUUGGGUGUACAUGGAAACAUUCAAAGCCCUUCUGAGGCAGAGUUUUCUCCACCCCUUCUACAGCAGGGUCAUCAAAAGCUAAGAUCUCUAAGCAACCCUCUGCUGAUUUCAAUCAGGUCCUCAAACAUCAGGAGAACGAUCCCACCUGUGAAAGUGUGAACUACUUCCUGGGCUUUUCUUCACUGCUGAGAGCUUUGGAAUCUGUGAGAAGACUGGAAGGGGCUCUAAAGCAGUUACUCACUCUGGAGUGAGUGAUUUAAAUAAAAGUAUGUCAAUGGUGGAGAGCCUUCUGGGUUUUGAUGACCUUCAGCUUCUGGCAGGAGCUAUCAGGGUAAGGAUUUGCAUCAGAGCACCAAGAGGAGACAACAGGACUAGGCAGUCUCAGAAAUGCAUCCACUGUCUGUAUAGGAACACCAUACUGCCAAAUAAAACAACAUGUUCAGUGGACAGGCAUGGUUCAGUCCAUGGGAAGUUUUAGUGUUUCUAUUAACAAUAAAUCUGAAUCAGAGAAGUA